UACGUAGGGGGCAAGCGUUGUCCGGAUUUAUUGGGCGUAAAGAGCGUGUAGGCGGUCAGGUAGGUCCGUUGUGAAAACUCGAGGCUCAACCUCGAGACGCCGAUGGAAACCAUCUGACUAGAGUCCGGAAGAGGAGAGUGGAAUUCCUGGUGUAGCGGUGAAAUGCGCAGAUAUCAGGAAGAACACCUAUGGCGAAGGCAGCUCUCUGGGACGGUACUGACGCUGAGACGCGAAAGCGUGGGGAGCGAACAGG
rnacentral:rRNA from 1 species